UGUUGAUGAACUAAAGCUUAUUAUAUUAGACC
rnacentral:piRNA from 1 species